rnacentral:rRNA from 1 species
CCUACGGGUGGCAGCAGUGAGGAAUAUUGCACAAUGGGGGAAACCCUGAUGCAGCGAUGCCGCGUGCGGGAUGAAGGGGCUUUGCCUCGUAAACCGCUGUCGGAUGGGAAGAAAGGGAUCUUAGAGGUCCUGGGACUGUACCAUAAGAGGAAGGGACGGCUAACUACGUGCCAGCAGCCGCGGUAAUACGUAGGUCCCGAGCGUUGUCCGGAAUUACUGGGUGUAAAGGGUGCGCAGGCGGUCUUGUGCGUCAGAAGUGAAAUAUCACGGCUUAA